UUAAACCGUUAUUCUAAUCUGACGACCGGUAAGGUCUACUGGAAUGUGCUAAAUAAAGAGCGCCGCGGCGAAUAUCUGGGCGAGACGGUACAGGUGAUUCCACAUAUCACAAAUGAGAUAAAAUCAUUUAUCUAUUCCGUGGAGGAAAAGACCGAUGCGGCCUAUGUGGGCGCAGGCUUUGAGGACGAAAUGCUGGUGAUGGCAAAUUUCCCGGCUGUGGGGUUGUAGGGCCGCCGGACGUGAUUCUGGAGUAGGCAGGAGAAGUCGGCUGGAAAGCCGCGCCGGAGCGAGUGAAAGCCUCGUAUCCGAAACCGAAAAGGACACAGGCGGUACCUGAGUACCGCGGGGCACGAGAAACCCCGUGGGAAUCCGGGAGGACCAUCUUCCAAGGCUAAGUACGAAUCAGCGACCGAUAGUGAACCAGUACCGUGAGGGAAAGGUGAAAAGAACCCCUGUCAGGGGAGUGAAAGAGAAUCUGAAACCUGUUGCUUACAAGCUGUGGGAGCCACAUAACGGUGGUGACCACGUGCCUUUUGCAUAAUGAGUCAGCGAGUUAAUCUGUCGUGCGAGGUUAAGCGAGAGCGGAGCCGUAGCGAAAGCGAGUCUGAUAAGGGCGACAAGUACGGCGGAUUAGACCCGAAACCGGGUGAUCUAUCCAUGAGCAGGUUGAAGCAAGGGUAAAGCCUUGUGGAGGACCGAACCAAUACCGGCUGAAAACGGUUUGGAUGACUUGUGGAUAGGGGUGAAAGGCCAAUCAAACCCGGUGAUAGCUGGUUCUCCCCGAAAUAUAUUGAGGUAUAGCCUCGGGGAUUGUCUGUCGGAGGUAAAGCACUGACAAGGCUAGGGGUCCUACCAGAUUACCAAACCUUUUCAAACUCAGAAUGCCGACAAGAUGUACCCCGGGAGUCAGACGGCGGGUGCUAAGGUCCGUCGUCGAGAGGGUAAGAGCCCAGAUCGACAGCUAAGGUCUCGAAAUCCAUGCUCAGUGGUGAAGGUGGUGGAGUUGUACAGACAGCCAGGACGUUGGCUUAGAAGCAGCCAUCGUUUAAAGAAAGCGUAAUAGCUCACUGGUCUAAUGACUCUGCGCCGAAAAUGUAACGGGGCUAAGCAUGGUACCGAAGCUUCGGAUUCCUCUUUUGAGGAGUGGUAGGGGAGCGUUCUCUAUGGGCAGAAGCUGCAUUGUAAAGUGCGGUGGACGGUAGAGAAGUGAUUAUGCUGACAUGAGUAACGAUAAAACAGGUGAAAAACCUGUUCGCCGAAAACCCAAGGUUUCCUGGGUAAAGUUAAUCUUCCCAGGGUGAGUCGGACCCUAAGGCGAGGGCGAAAGCCGUAGCUGAUGGAAAACGGGUUAAUAUUCCCGUACUUCUUAUGGUGUGCGAUGGAGGGACGCAGAAAGAUAGGUGGGCCAACUGUUGGAUGUUGGUGCAAGCUGGUAGGAAUGCCUCGCCGGCAAAUCCGCGAGGUGAAUCCGAGAAGCGAGUCCGUGGGCGCAAGCCCUGAAGCCAUUGAGUCUCCGCUGCCAAGAAAAGCUCCUAAGUUUAGCCAUGAGGACCCGUACUGCAAACCAACUCAGGUGGGUGGGAUGAAUAAUCCAAGGCGCUCGAGAGAACUCUGGCCAAGGAACUCGGCAAAAUGACCCCGUAACUUCGGAAGAAGGGGUGCUUUUUCAGGUGACCAUUUUUACAUUGGAAGCCAGAGGAAGCCGCAGUGAAUUGGUGGUGGCGACUGUUUACUAAAAACAUAGGUCUGUGCGAAGUCGCAAGACGACGUAUACGGACUGACGCCUGCCCGGUGCCGGAAGGUUAAAAGGAGAGGUCAGCGCAAGCGAAGCCUUGAAUUGAAGCCCCGGUAAACGGCGGCCGUAACUAUAACGGUCCUAAGGUAGCGAAAUUCCUUGUCGGGUAAGUU
rnacentral:rRNA from 1 species